rnacentral:lncRNA from 1 species
CAGAGGUAGGCCUGCUGCCAACACAGGGCCUGGGAACGUGGUGCCUCAUCUGGCCCAGCCGGGGCCCAGAACAGCACCCUUCCUGGGAGAUCAGGCUCCAGUGUUGACCCCUUGCCCUGGCUCAUCGGCUCCUCCCGGCUGUGCCGGGAUUCCUGGCUCUUGGUCCCCAUCCACCCCUCCUCCCUGGCAAGCCAGGCUGCAGGCCCCACCUUCUCCCCAGCUCCUUCCUUCCUCCUGUGGCCCAUGCUGUCUCCAGGAGAGCAGGGGGCUCAGGAAGGGAUUCUGCCCGUGGGCACUGCUGACCUGGGCAGGCAGGGGCAGGGUGGGCUGCACUUCCUCCCAUCUCAGGACCUGGCAGGGGUGGCACAGCCCAGCUGCAGGGACUCUGGCGGGAGUGAGCUGCCCUGCCCCCACUGUGCCUCUCAGGGCCUGUCCCCCUCCCACCUGAGCCCUCCACUGGGCGUCUCUUCUGAAUCCAGUCCAUGCCCACUGGCUGCCUGUGCCCCAGGUUGGGCUUUGCGCUGGAGCUGCACCCCAGGCUCUGCAAAGCCACCAUGGUGACAGUGUUUCCAGGGAAACCACAGCAGGCUGCCAGGUGCCCGCCGGCCCCUCCCUUCAAGCCUCACGGAAUUGAAACAAGGGGCUGCAGGAAUCGAUUCUCCGGCCGAAAGACUUCUCCAGUAAGGGAGCUUCCCAGGCUCCGUUUCACAGGAGCACCGGCUGGGGGAGGACCGGGAGGGCCUUCAUUAUGCAGUCAUUACAGAGUCUCAUCAAGCGCUGAUUCCACCUGCUUGAGAAGCCGACUUUUUUUUUUUUUUUUUUUUUUUUUUUUUGAGACAGCGUCUUGCUCUGUUGCCCACGCUGGGGUGCAGUGGUGCGAUCUUGGCUCACUGCAACCUCCGCCUCCGAGGUUGAAGCCAUUCUCCUGCCU